ACCCAAGGUGUCCCUUUCCCCCCCAUUUUUCUCCUAUAUUUUCCCAUUUUUCCCCAUUUUUCCACCCAUUUUUCUCCCUUUCCCCCCCCGUUUUUAAAUUUCCCCCAUUUUGCCCAAUUUCCCCAUUUCUCACCCCAAUUUUUCCAUUUCUCACCCCAAUUUCCCCAUUCCAAGGGUCUCUCCCCGGGCUGUUACAACACCCAAGGUGUCCCUUCCCCCCCCCAAUUUUCUCCUAUAUUUUCCCAUUUUUCACCAUUUUUACAGGUUUUUCCCCCCAUUUUUUCCCCUUUCCCCCCAUUUUUUAAAUUUCCCCCAUUUUUGCCCAAUUUCCCCAUUUCUCACCCCAUUCCCAGGGGCUCAGCCCGGGCUGUUACGACACGUACAACGCCGACAUCGACUGCCAGUGGAUCGACAUCACCGACGUCCCCCCGGGGAACUACAUCCUCAAGGUGGGACAUCGGGGACAUCGGGGACAUUUGGGUACAUUGGGGACAUUGGGGACAGUUGGGGACACUGGGGACAUUGGGGACAUUUGGGGACAUUUGGGGACAUUUGGGGACAUUGGGGACAUUGGGGACAUUGGAGAUCUUGAGGACAUUGGGGACAUUGGGAACAUUUGGGGACAUGGGCAGGAUUGGGGACAUUGGGGACACCGGGGACAUUGGGGGCAUUGGGGACAUUUGGGGACAUUGGGGACAUUGGGGACUUUGGGGGGAUUGGGGACAUUGGGGGAUUUGGGACAUUGGGGAUACUGGGGACAUUUGGGGACAUUGGCAGGAUUUGGAACAUUGGGGACACUGGGGACUGUGGGACAUUGGGGACAUUUGGGACACCUGGGGACAUUGGGGACAUUUGGGACACCUGGGGACACUGGGGACAUUGUGGACACUGGGGACAUUGGGGACACCUGAGGACAUUGGAGACACUGGGGACAACUGGGGACAUUGACGGGAUUGGAGACAUUGUGGACAUUUGUGACAAUGGGGGAUAGAGGACAUUUGGGACAUUGGGGACAUUAGAGGGAUUGGGGACAUUGGGGGG
rnacentral:lncRNA from 1 species